rnacentral:rRNA from 1 species
CAGGCCUAACACAUGCAAGUCGAGGGGUAACAUAGAGAAGCUUGCUUUUCUGAUGACGACCGGCGCACGGGUGCGUGACGCGUAUAGAAUCUACCUUAUACUGAGGGAUAGCCUUUGGAAACGAAGAUUAAUACCUCAUAGUAUGAUUAAUUGGCAUCAAUAUAUCAUUAAAGGUUACGGUAUAAGAUGACUAUGCGUUCUAUUAGCUAGAUGGUGUGGUAACGGCACACCAUGGCAACGAUAGAUAGGGGCCCUGAGAGGGGGAUCCCCCACACUGGUACUGAGACACGGACCAGACUCCUACGGGAGGCAGCAGUGAGGAAUAUUGGACAAUGGAGGCAACUCUGAUCCAGCCAUGCCGCGUGCAGGAAGACUGCCCUAUGGGUUGUAAACUGCUUUUAUACAGGAAGAAACCUUUUCACGGUGUGAGAAGCUGACGGCACUGUAAGAAUAAGGAUCGGCUAACUCCGUGCCCAGCAGCCGCGGUAAUACGGAGGAUCCAAGGCGUUUAUCCGGAAUCAUUGGGUUUAAAGGGUCCGUAGGUGGAUAAUUAAGUUCAGAGGUGAAAGUUUGCGGCUCAACCGUAAAAUUGCCUUUGAUACUGGUUUUCUUGAAAUUAUUGUGAAGUAGUUAAGAAUAUGUAGUGUAGCGGGUGAAAUGCAUAGAUAUUACAUAGAAUACCAAUUGCGAAAGGCAGAUUACUAACAAUAUAUUGACACAGAUGGACGAAAGCGUGGGGAGCGAACAGGAUUAGAUACCCUGGUAGUCCACGCCGUAAACGAUGGUCACUAGCUGUUCGGAUUUAUCUGAGUGGCUAAGCGAAAGUGAUAAGUGACCCACCUGGGGAGUACGUUCGCAAGAAUGAAACUCAAAGGAAUUGACGGGGGCCCGCACAAGCGGUGGAGCAUGUGGUUUAAUUCGAUGAUACGCGAGGAACCUUACCAGGGCUUAAAUGUAAAUUGACAGGUUUAGAGAUAGACUUUUCUUCGGACAAUUUACAAGGUGCUGCAUGGUUGUCGUCAGCUCGUGCCGUGAGGUGU